rnacentral:pre_miRNA from 1 species
AAAAAAACAAACACUGGAUUUCCGUGUCAAACGUUUGAUUGUCCGUCUUAUAUGAUUUUUUUUAUAAUUAGUAUUUUCAUUGUUGUUAGAUGAUAAAACAUGAUUAAUACUUUAUGCAUGACUUGUCUUUUAAUUUUUUUUAAAUAAGACGGACGGACAAACGUUGGACACGGAAACCAGUGUUUGUCUUCUUU